UGCGUGUGGGAUGUUUAUUACGAGGAGCUCGAAGCGUACAACGACUCCUUGAAGAAGGAGUGACGGCUCCAAUUCACGGGUGCGUUUUGUACGAUCUUUCUCUGUUAUUCGCCCACGGGAGUAUGAUAGGAAGGCAAUAAUAACAUUGUUUCUUAUGCAUGGUAUAUCGGUGAAGAUGCAUAGAUAAAUGUUGCUGUAUGAAGGCUGUGUGUGCUACACCCAUUUGUUAAAUUCAUCAUUUAUCACAAAAUAUAUUUUCCUGUAUGCUUAGCUUGAUGCUUGGUUUGAUUUAGGGAAGUCUAAGCUGGUCAUUAUGGACUAGGAUGAUUUAUAUAUUUUUCUAUAUUAUAAUAAUACCCAGCUUUUUGGAUAA